GACGAACGCUUGCGGCGUGCUUAACACAUGCAAGUCGAACGGAAAGGCCCUGCUUUUGUGGGGUGCUCGAGUGGCGAACGGGUGAGUAACACGUGAGUAACCUGCCCUUGACUUUGGGAUAACUUCAGGAAACUGGGGCUAAUACCGGAUAGGAGCUCCUGCUGCAUGGUGGGGGUUGGAAAGUUUCGGCGGUUGGGGAUGGACUCGCGGCUUAUCAGCUUGUUGGUGGGGUAGUGGCUUACCAAGGCUUUGACGGGUAGCCGGCCUGAGAGGGUGACCGGCCACAUUGGGACUGAGAUACGGCCCAGACUCCUACGGGAGGCAGCAGUGGGGAAUAUUGCACAAUGGGCGGAAGCCUGAUGCAGCAACGCCGCGUGCGGGAUGACGGCCUUCGGGUUGUAAACCGCUUUCGCCUGUGACGAAGCGUGAGUGACGGUAAUGGGUAAAGAAGCACCGGCUAACUACGUGCCAGCAGCCGCGGUGAUACGUAGGGUGCGAGCGUUGUCCGGAUUUAUUGGGCGUAAAGGGCUCGUAGGUGGUUGAUCGCGUCGGAAGUGUAAUCUUGGGGCUUAACCCUGAGCGUGCUUUCGAUACGGGUUGACUUGAGGAAGGUAGGGGAGAAUGGAAUUCCUGGUGGAGCGGUGGAAUGCGCAGAUAUCAGGAGGAACACCAGUGGCGAAGGCGGUUCUCUGGGCCUUUCCUGACGCUGAGGAGCGAAAGCGUGGGGAGCGAACAGGCUUAGAUACUCUGGUAGUCCACGCUGUAAACGGUGGGUACUAGGUGUGGGGUCCAUUCCACGGGUUCCGUGCCGUAGCUAACGCUUUAAGUACCCCGCCUGGGGAGUACGGCCGCAAGGCUAAAACUCAAAGGAAUUGACGGGGCCCCGCACAAGCGGCGGAGCAUGCGGAUUAAUUCGAUGCAACGCGUAGAACCUUACCUGGGUUUGACAUGGAUCGGGAGCGCUCAGAGAUGGGUGUGCCUCUUUUGGGGUCGGUUCACAGGUGGUGCGUGGCUGUCGUCAGCUCGUGUCGUGAGAUGUUGGGUUAAGUCCCGCACCGAGCGCAACCCUUGUUCACUGUUGCCAGCACGUUAUGGUGGGGACUCAGUGGAGACCGCCGGGGUCAACUCGGAGGAAGGUGGGGAUGACGUCAAGUCAUCAUGCCCCUUAUGUCCAGGGCUUCACGCAUGCUACAAUGGCUGGUACAGAGAGUGGCGAGCCUGUGAGGGUGAGCGAAUCUCGGAAAGCCGGUCUCAGUUCGGAUUGGGGUCUGCAACUCGACCUCAUGAAGUCGGAGUCGCUAGUAAUCGCAGAUCAGCAACGCUGCGGUGAAUACGUUCCCGGG
rnacentral:rRNA from 1 species